GGGGUUGUGGCUCGGUGGUAGAGUGUUCAUCUAGCACAUGGAAGGCCCUGGGUUCAAUCCUCAGCACCACA
rnacentral:tRNA from 1 species